rnacentral:rRNA from 1 species
ACGGGGGGGGCAAGCGUUGUUCGGAAUUACUGGGCGUAAAGGGCCAGUAGGCGGCCAACUAAGUCCGACGUGAAAUCCCAAGGCUUAACCUUGGAACUGCGUCGGAUACUGGAUGGCUUGAAUUCGGGAGAGGGAUGCAGAAUUCCAGGUGUAGCGGUGAAAUGCGUAGAUAUCUGGAGGAAUACCGGUGGCGAAGGCGGCUCACUGGACCAUAACUGACGCUGAGGGCGCGAAAGCUAGGGGAGCAAACAGGA